rnacentral:lncRNA from 1 species
GCCGUGUCCACAGCAGAAUCCAGUUUGCAGUUUCCAGCCUUUGCAGAACGAGCCUCAUCAGACCCCCAUCAGAAACACCAGCCGCCACAUGAGGUGAGUAGCACACCCUCCUCAGAGGUCUGGGUCCCAGCUUCCUGGAGCCCCCUUUCUCUAAGCUUUGAAGUUAUAACAAUUCCCUUCUCUUUCCUUUGUGCUCACGCGCUGGGGGUGGUUGCAGGUUUUGGCUUUCUACUCUAAGAUACCUUCCAGUUUUCUUCCCCAUUUGAGUUACCUCCUUACCAACUUUAUGCCUACUUCACAUUUUAUAUACAAAAUCCUGUCUGUUCAAAUAACUAAUGGGGCAGAGCCUUCUUGCCUGCCCGCUUGCAUCUCUUACAAGCGUCCUAUCGUAAUAAAUCGAUUCCUUGCAUAAAAAAAAAACCAAAAAAGCAAACAAAAAUACCCCAAAUAACUAAUGGGACUUCUGCCUCCGACUGGUCCCUAACUGAGAGGUACCCCAACUCCCAGCAGUCGUUGGUUGAAGGCUGCCUCUAGGAAGGUUCAUUACCCAUCAUUUUCCAGCAGCUACAGGGGUGGCAAAGCUGACUCCAGUAGAAGGGCAGGCUCCAGUGGCAAGAGAAAACCCUCAGGCAAAGUACUCCAGGACCUAGCGAUUGGAAGUUGGGCCAGUGUGCACUAAAGUGAUAAGGGGGAGGGACCAAGGGCGGGGGGAGUGACAAGGUUUGCUAUACAGUUGAAUGCCCUUUAUAAAAUAUUAAUUUCUCAUUCCACGAGCAAUAAUUAUCUUUGAAAGACACUUAAGUCAAUAAGAAUAAGGCUCAAGUCCUUUCAGUCACCAUCCCCCAUCCUGAUUCCCUUCCCUUCCCAGAGGUAACCUCCGUUAGUAGUUAUCAUUUACAUGUACUUUUCUACAUAUAUAUGCUUAUAAAACAUAUGGCAUUAUUUUGUAGGUUUUUUGUUUUUGUUUCAUAGUAUACCUGUCUUUUUGCACUUUGCUCUAUUCACAAAACAAUUUGUCUUGGGAGUCAUUCCAUAUUAUGACACAUAGAUCUACCUAUUUCUUUUUAACGGCCUCAUAAUAUUCCCAAGGUGCAUAUUCCAUUGUUUAUUUCACUGUCACUCUGUGUUCACAAUUAACAAAAUCCUAUGAUUAAUGGCCAUGUCUUUUGUGUCAUUGUACCUGUUUAGGAGUGUUUCUGUAGGGUAGAUACAGACUGGAAAUGCUUGGGGGGGGCGGUCAGAGAAAAUGCCUUUCUUUUUUUUUUUUUUUUUAAUUUGGCUGCAUUUGCAGCACAUAGAAGUUCCUGGGCCAGGGAUCAAAUCCGAGCUGCAGCAGUGACCCGAGCUGCCACAGAGACAAAGCUUAACCUGCUGCACCACAAGGGAACUCCUGAGAAUGAAUAUUUUAAAACUGACAUUAAGUGUCAAAAAUAUGUCCUCCAAAAUGUAGUUCCAAUUUACAAGCUGUAAUGUUGUGGUUUAUAAUAAGAAGUAUAUAUUUGGUCUCCCUCCUCAUUUCUGGCAGUUCCUAAAACCCUUGGAAUUUCCUAAGUGAUAGAAGCAACAAAGGUAUCUUUGUUAUGUUAAUGAGGUGACUCCUGAACGGCACCUGGGGAUGCGGGCUGGUUGCCAGGGAAACCAACCUAGAGAUUAGAACUUUUAGUCUUACCUUCUAACCCUGGGGGAGGGGAGGCGAGGGGAGCCGGAGGUUGAAUCCAUCGCCAAUGGGCCAAUGAUUUAAUCGAUCUUAACUAAAUAAUGAAGGCUCCUUAAAAACCAAACUGAUAGGGUCUAGAGUGCUUCUGGGUUGGUGAACACGUGGUGAUCCGGGCAGAGUAUCGUGCCCGCAGAGGACACGCAAGCUCCACGCCCUUUCCCCACACAUGGCCCUAAGAAUCUCUUCCAUCCGGCUAUUCCUCGGUCAUAUCCUUUUAUAAUAAACAGGUAAUCUACUAAGUCAAAUGCUUCUCUUAGUUCUUCUCUGAGUUCUGUGAGCCACUCUAGCAAAUUAAGUGAACCCAAGGAGGGAGUCGUUGUGCUUGGAACUAGCGUCUGAAGUUGGAGGGUGGGGGUAGGGGCAGUCUUAGAGGACUGAACCUUUAACCUGUGGAAUCUGAUGCUGUCUCCUGUAGUGUCAGAAUUUAGCUGAAUUCUUGGACACUGGUGUGGUGUCCAAGAAUUGCUUGGUGUUGUGUGGGAAGCAACCCCCCCAAAAAAAACCCACCAAAAAAUGAAAAACCACACACACACGCUAAUUGGAUCCUGGAACCCAGGAGUUGGUGUCAGUGAACUGGGGUUUGCCAGAACCAUCCUGUCUCCUAGAAACUUACGAUUUGGGAAGAGAAAGGGUGAAAGGGGGUGAGGGUGGGGGAGUACUUAUAACCUUAUUGCUACAAAACCCUAAACUUGUUUAAAAAGCCUUAGCGAAUUUGCUCUUCUGCUUCCCCGCUAAGGGUCUUACAGAUGCUAAUACAAAACAUUAGGUUAAUUAACAAGAGAAUCAGAAGAAGCUGAGAGGAGACUCAACGCUGCUUCCUUACCAGGAGGAAAUUUUUAGACCUUUUCUUUUUUUCUUUCUUUUUUUUUUUUUGGCUUUUUGGGGCUACCCCUAUGGCAUAUGGAGGUUCCCAGGCCAGGGGUCGAAUUGGAGCUGUAAUUGCUGGCCUACAACCUACACCACAGCUCACGGCAACGCUGGAUUCUUAACCCACUGAGCGAGCGAGGCCAGGGAUCGAACCUGCGUCCUCAUGUAUGCUAGUCAGAUUCGUUGACUGCUGAGCCUCGACGGGAACUCCUAGACUAUUUUUAUUUUUUAUUUUUUUGGCUGUGCCCGCAGUAUGUGCAACUUCCCAGGCCAGGGAUUGAACCUGAGCCACAGUGACAAUGCUGGAUCCUUAACCCAACGGCGCCACCGGAGAACUAAACUAUUUUUAAGAGAUGAGGUGAAUAAAGUGAAUAUUGACAGGGCGAAACAAAGAGGAAUCAGAAAGGAGAGUCUAAGGGCUUCCAGGAGGGUGGAAAUCUUUAGAUGGUUAUUUAGAAACGGGAUGAAUAAAAUGGACAUGAUGGGAUUAGAACAAAGGUUUAAUACAGCGCUACCUGAGAUUGGGUGAGUCAAAGGAUCCCUUAUCAGCUCCCAAUAUCAGAGGGCCCCAAACAAGUCCAUUCUAUUUUCCCUGAGUCCUGAGACGUUUGAAAAGCUAUCCACCAAAAACUGCAAUGAGAAACCUGACCAGGAAUUGCUUGGGAGCAGUGGUCCCUAGACCCCUCGCUGGGGACCCAAAGCCUUUUACACAAGAGUGAGUAAAACGGUCAGGGGGUGAAGAAGUUUCCUUUACUCUUUGAUAUAAGAAUCUCAUGAACCCACUGGGGAAGCCUUUUCUUGGGGCUAGACCGAGAGACAGUAAAUAUGUAAUGGCCGAGAGAAUGCUGCAAGUUGAAAUGUCUAAGCAGAUAAUCAUGUAAAGAAGUCGUGUCAGCUUUUCCUGACUGUUUCAUGGGAAUGGCUAUUGUGUCUGGGGGGGGAACCCGUCCCCUUCCUGGUGUCAGAAAACCAAAACUGGACGAAGUCCUGACGGAGGCGACAGUUGGGAGCGCAGUGGGGGGUGGAAUUAAGACAGAGGUUUGUCGCAGACUCGGUGUUGGAACAGGCUUUACGGGAAGUGGUCUCUUUUACCCGAUUGGAAGGUUGUCCCGGCUCCUACUGUAAAAACAAACGCUUGGGACGCUCCCCCUCCAGCAAUGUUAAUGGGACUUGCUAACUGGGACCCAGUAAGAGGGCCUGAGCCCACGCAAUGUGGAGUAGAGGCCGGAGUGCCAGGAGGGACAGGGUCUCUGCCGUAGCCCUUCCUGGAAUGUAGCCUGGGGCUCAUGGCAAGAGUUUGUGGGCGAGCCCAGCAACAACUGGGACUUUGAGGGAGUUCCCGCUGUGGUGCCGUGGCCUAAGAAUCUGACUGCAGGGAGUUCCCAUGGUGGCUCAGCAGUAACGAACCCGACUAGAAUCCUUGGGGAUUCGGGUUCAAUCCCUGGCCUCGCUCACUGGGAUUCAGUCCCUGGCCCUGGAACCGCCGUAUGCCUCGGGCUCAGCGGUAAAAGAAGCUCCCCCCAACCCCACCCCCAGAAAACUGGGACUUUGAACUAGAGGAUUCCCAUUUGAGAGCUAUUUACUCCCUUGUUAUGGAGCAUCAUUAAUUGAAGCCAUCCCUGUGACGGAAGGACAUAAAGUGAUCUUAAAUCGGAAACAGUUAAAAUGUCUAGGACGAUGUGGGCGAAAUGCCCUACCGGGGAUGGCAGUGCCCAGAAGACUUCCAGAACGAUGUGGAAACGGGUUAUCCGGGAUCUCACUGUCGGGAGGAUGCAAGGAGAGCAUCCUCAGGCGCAGGGAGCCUCUUUCCCUCUAGAACUGACUCCGGGGCUGUGUGAGGAGCUGCUGGCUCCCGUCAUCACCAGGACAGUGCCCUGUGAACAGCUGAGCCACAAGAGCUGCUUGGUUCGGGGAGGGCAGCUCCACAGUAAACGGACGCCGUCCUGUUGGGGAGGCUGCUCUGGUCCAAGGGAAAAACAAAAUGCAAUUCGAGGGCCUGAAUUGUAUGCUGUCCUCUCGGCAGCGAUGGAAGAGUUGAACAGUGGUGAAGCCCCUCUGUUUGGUUUUUACUGGCUCAGGGGCAGCGGCCAAUGGCCUGGCCAGUAUGUUCAGGCAGAGGCAAUGGAAACCGGGCCUAUGAAAGGGGUGCCCGUGUAGGAAUCACUGUGGGAAUUUGAGGGGUGCAUCAAGGCAGGCAGGACAUGCCAAUGCCUGUCAGAAGGACCCCGCUUCCGGGUUUCGAAGGUGACUUCGAUCAACAAGCAGAUCUUGGGAGUGCCUGUGGGGCUCAGGGCGUUAAGAAUCCGACUGGUAUGCAUGAGGAUGUGGGUUCGAUCCCUGGCCUCGCUCAGUGGGUUAAAGGAUCCGGCAUUGGUGCGAGCUGUGGUGUAGGUCGCAGACAUGGCUCGGAUCUGGUGUGGCUGUGGUGUAGGCCAGCAGCCACAGCUCUGAUUGGACCCCUAGCCUGGGAACUUCCUAGGGUGCAGCCCUACAAAGCCAAAAAAAAAACCAAAAAAAAAAAACCAAAAAAAAAA